rnacentral:rRNA from 1 species
AGAGUUUGAUUAUGGCUCAGGAUGAACGCUAGCUACAGGCUUAACACAUGCAAGUCGAGGGGCAGCGGGAAGUUAGCUUGCUAACUUGCCGGCGACCGGCGCACGGGUGAGUAACGCGUAUCCAACCUUCCCUUAGUAGGGCAUAGCCCGAUGAAAAUCGGAUUAAUACCCUAUGUUGUCUUAUGAGGACAUCUGAGCAGGACCAAAGGUUUACCGCUAAGGGAUGGGGAUGCGUCCGAUUAGGUAGUCGGCGGGGUAACGGCCCACCGAGCCAUCGAUCGGUAGGGGUUCUGAGAGGAAGGUCCCCCACAUUGGAACUGAGACACGGUCCAAACUCCUACGGGAGGCAGCAGUGAGGAAUAUUGGUCAAUGGGCGAGAGCCUGAACCAGCCAAGUAGCGUGCAGGAAUGACGGCCCUAUGAGUUGUAAACUGCUUUUAUGCGGGGAUAAAGUUCGCCACGUGUGGCGUUUUGUAGGUACCGCAUGAAUAAGGACCGGCUAAUUCCGUGCCAGCAGCUGC